rnacentral:tRNA from 1 species
AACAUAAUAAAGAAAAUUAAACUUUCUAUUAACUUAUAUUUAAUAGAAAUAAUCUAUCACCUUA